rnacentral:lncRNA from 1 species
UGACACAUCAGCAUUUAACACACUUAUUAACGGUUUGUGUAACGAUGGGGGUAAUUUGUAGGUUUCUCUAGGAGUUUGAGUAUGGAGUUGUAAAUGUCUUAAAAAAGAGGUAUGAAUUUGAAAAUGACCCUAUAGUUUUGGGGGAGGGGGCUUUAAUGGAAGUUCUUUGGUAAAAUCUGUAAUCAAAUACCUUCAAAACGGGGAAUUAGAUAAACGAGGGAGAGUAGUUGAUCCAAUUCCAAUUUCUUAUUCCCAAAUUCUUAACUUUCCUAAUUCAUGACAUCCCCUAUUCCUUGUAAGUAAAUGUAUCUUGUAUUUGUUUCCCUCUUUUCGGCUGAGGUGGUCGACGAAAGGAACUUUUGAUCCUUCUUCUCUUGGAUUGCAUAGGCGUGCCACCACCAAGCCACUGAUUGGCUUGAAUGGAAAAUUUUGGAUUGUUUUGUUCGCGCUUCUGACUUCUAACCAGCCGAUUGAUCGGCCAACCAAGGAACCUCCUCUUGGCCUAGGUUUUUUCACUUCCUCAGGGUUGAGGAUGGUUAAGUUUCAUAUGGGUAUUUUAGUUUUUUUUUUUUUGAGGUUUAAUGAUAAUGAUGCAAAUUAAAUUAAAAGAUGUGAUUAAACUUAAAGACAAGAAUUAAAGUGCGGUAAAGUAAAUCAAAGCGAUAAAUGAACGUAAUUAAAUGAAGAACAAAACAAGAACAUGUUUGAGCCUGGUCGAAGUCCGACCAUGCGUCUUGGAAAACCAAUAGGCCAAAAUGAAAAUUGGCGGCUCAAGGUGACCAAUGGCCAAAUCGAAACAAGAAGGCCGAACUUAGGGGUCAUCAUGCACCUUACGUCAUUUAAUCUUCAAUAAAGUCUAUAGCUUAAGAUGCACGAUGUUCCAUCAUAAUUCAGACCAAGAACUUAAAAGUUGAAACCCAAUCUCCAACAACUGGUUGAAAAUAUCUGACUUCCAAAGUCGAAACAUCUGAAACUUCUGAAGUGGAUGUUUAGUUGUGGUCUAAAAUUCAGCCAAGGUCAAGUCUUCUGACCAACCAAGAUGAAGGUCUUCGAUCAGCCAAGAUCAAGGUUUCUAAUCACCCAUAGUCAAGUUCUCUGAUCAGCUAAGGUCAAUUCCUUUGAUCACCGAAGGUCAAGUCCUUCGAUCAGCCAGGGUCAAGGCUUUCGAUUAGCCAAUAUCAAGGUAUGCCAAGAUCAAGGCCCUCGAUCACCCGGAUCAAACCCAACUCCAAGUCGAGGUCGAGGAACUCCAAAUUGAGACUCUUUCAACGUGACUGAAAGGUGGUUCCUUGGGUUGAAAUGGUGGCUUCCUCUUUCGGCCAUGCAAGCCAUGCAAGGCGAGGUGUCAAAGGCAUCGCUCAUGUCAGAGAGGCCUGCCGAAGGCAUUGUACAUGCAACAUGAUGACAAGGUGCCAAAGGCACCGCUCGUGCAACAUGAUGACGAGGUGCCGAAGGCAUCACUCGCACUGAAUGAUGGAGAGGUGCCGAAGGCAUCGCUCGCGCUGAAUGACGACGAGGUGCCAAAGGCAUCACUCAUGUCGAAUGAUAGCGAGGUACCGAAGGUAGCGCACAGGCCGAAUGAUGAAGCUUGUAGAACAAGCUCAAGUCCCUAUAUUUUUCUCUUCAAAGAAGUGUCGAAUGACACUUUGAAUUGAGAUGGUGGUUUGGCCAUGCAAGCCAUGCAAGGCGAUCGCCAUAUUCUGAUUGGCUUUUCCUUAAAAUAUCAUCCUCUGCAAUUUGUUGCCUUAGCAUUCAUGGUGGCUCCAGUAAGGCAUUGCCGAACGGCAACUUAGGUGACAUUGAUUGUAUGGGUGCCGAAAGGCACUUGAGAAAAGGAGAACGACAGAAGCCUUUUGUGUCAAUUCCCACAGACAUCGCCAAACUGUUGAUGCUCUUUUUGAGAGGGUCAACUUAGAUAGAGGUGGAAUGGUGGAUGAUGGGUGAAGGUGAGGACCUUCAGCAUGUAUGUGAAUAUUUGGACAAGCGAUAAAUAUAAAGAAUGCGAGAUAUACGUGGUUCACCCUUAAUGAAUGGGCUACGUCCACGGAGAAGGAUGUUCUCAUUAUUAUAAUAUUUGUUUACAUUUGUACAAGGGGUUGGACCCAAAUAUAAAGAUAACAAGUGAGAAGCCCAACCCAGUCAUGGGAUCCAGAAGAGAGAGUCUUUUUCCCAAUGGAGAGUAGUCUUCUUUUAUAGGCGAGGGGGAGUCUCCAUCUCUUGUAGUUUUCCGAUGUGGGACUCCUCUUGCUUUGCUUAGAGUUGUGACUUGUGGUAAUGCUUCUUUGGAUAAGGUGACGACCUCUCAAAGCAUGACACGUGGAUGAUCUAGCCUAUCUAGUUGCUCGGUCAGUUAGCCUAGCUAGCUAGAGUUGAAUUCACCCAAAAUAAAAAAUUUCAAAUGUUUCUGCUGUUUUUUGAUUGCGUAUGAUGGUGAGAUUUACUCCACUCCUACUUUGCUUUUUGCUGCGCUAACAUCAAAAGUUAAGGAAGAAGCAAACAAGGUAAAAUAAAUUUAUGUUUAUUUUUGUUUUCAUCAUACAUAAACAUAAAGUUUGGUUUUACUGUACAUACUGUUAGUAUGGUAAUCAAGAAAUUGGCCUAGUUUUAAGGAGAUAUUUGAUGUUCACCAAAGUGGAUAGUUUAAAUAAUCUAUCUUAAUUCA